GGGGAAUAUUGCACAAUGGGCGCAAGCCUGAUGCAGCAACGCCGCGUGGGGGAUGACGGCCUUCGGGUUGUAAACCCCUUUUAGCAGGGAAGAAGCGAAAGUGACGGUACCUGCAGAAAAAGCGCCGGCUAACUACGUGCCAGCAGCCGCGGUAAUACGUAGGGCGCAAGCGUUGUCCGGAAUUAUUGGGCGUAAAGAGCUCGUAGGCGGUUUGUCGCGUCUGCUGUGAAAACCCGAGGCUCAACCUCGGGCCUGCAGUGGGUACGGGCAGACUAGAGUGCGGUAGGGGAGACUGGAACUCCUGGUGUAGCGGUGGAAUGCGCAGAUAUCAGGAAGAACACCAAUGGCGAAGGCAGGUCUCUGGGCCGUAACUGACGCUGAGGAGCGAAAGCAUGGGGAGCGAAC
rnacentral:rRNA from 1 species